CUCGUAGGCGGUUCGUCGCGUCCGGUGUGAAAGUCCAUCGCCUAACGGUGGAUCUGCGCCGGGUACGGGCGGGCUGGAGUGCGGUAGGGGAGACUGGAAUUCCUGGUGUAACGGUGGAAUGUGUAGAUAUCGGGAAGAACACCAAUGGCGAAGGCAGGUCUCUGGGCCGUCACUGACGCUGAGGAGCGAAAGCGUGGGGAGCGAACA
rnacentral:rRNA from 1 species